rnacentral:rRNA from 1 species
UAGUAAUGGGCGAAAGCCUGAACUAGCAACGCCGCGUGUGCGAAGAAGGCCUUCGGGUUGUAAAGCACUUUUUGAGAGGAUGAGGAAGGACGGUACUCUCAGAAUAAGUCUCGGCUAACUACGUGCCAGCAGCCGCGGUAACACGUAGGAGGCGAACGUUAUCCGGAUUUAUUGGGCGUAAAGCGGGUGUAGGUGGUUUGGUAAGUAGGUCGUGAAAGCUCCUGGCUCAACUGGGAGAGGCCGUUCUAAACUGCC